CAGAGCCUGUAAGCCGGGAGUGCCGGUCCCUGCCCUACACCUUGGCAUGGAGCACUUGCCGAGCACCGAUCCCCAGCAACACCCAUGACACCUCCGUUGUCAAGGGCCACUUUUUUUUGGCAACUUCCCCAGGUGGAAAUCCACGAACCCUGAUGACAGGAGAAAUGAGAGGCACAAAAGGAAAGGAAGUGCCUCCAUGUCAGCAAUGAAAACAAACGUUCUGAGCAAGGCUAGAGGCAGGCAAGAGGGGACAAACCACCAAGAGGACAUCCGGCCCACGAACAGUCUGUUGGCUGGCCAGAAGGAAGGAGGCUUCUCGUUACCUGGGGACAGGCUAAAGAAGUAAACCACAGGGACUCAGAGCAAAGAAAUGGCUGAAGAGAAAAGCAGAAGAAAAACACAAUGGCAAAUGAGAAGAGCCUUGGCCGACGGCGGUGGCAGCUGGGAGUGGGGCCAGGACAGUGAUACGGACUGUGGCCAGGUCCUAGGACGGCCGUGGGGAGACCCGGGAGUCAUCCACCAUGGCUGGGAACAGAAAAGUCCCGCACCUUCGCAACCUGGCAUGGGCUCUCUGUGCACCGCAGACCAGCAUGAGGUCGUGCUUCCUAAGAAAAAAGUUAGACUCCAUUGAGAUGAAAAGAAUAAAAGACAGUGCCUGUGGGAAUGACUCUCAUGGAAAACAGGGUUAUGCUAGGCCUCGGGGCUCAGAGGACUAAACUCUGGUUUAAAAAAAAAAAAAUGCUCAGAGAACAUUUCCCUACAGAGCUAGAUAAUGGGGACUUUGCUUGAUUUUUCAGUGGGGUCGGAGUCCUGAGAUAGAAAUUAGAAACAGCAAGACCAGCCAGAGGUCUGCUGUAACAAUAUUUAGGAGAAGCUGGAGUUCUGCUGCCACACCGUCCGCUGUCAAUUACCGGCUGGCUCGAUUACAUAAACUCGGUAUUCUUAGACAAAGUGAUGGAUCCGCCCUCCCCUCCCCCAGUUCCCAUUAAUCACAGAAGAGAGUACAGCCACGAAUCCGCUAACACCAAAGGAGGCAGCAGCUGGUGUGUAGGUACCUAUCAGAUUUCGCCGGCAACCCCACUCCAGACCUCUAACGGAUGGAAACAAAGUUGAACUCCAGCGAAGACUCAAGCUAGGAUGGAUACAUUCGAAACUGAAGUCGGUAACAUAAGUAUCUCAAAAUAAGGAAGAGAGACCUUCAUGGGGUUCAUGUUUUCAAGCUGCGGCACAGAAAUGCAACAGGUCUUUCUCUCAUCCAAAUAACCCCCUAUGAGAAACAAAGCUACUGGGGAUGUCCUACCAACCCAAUCGUUAACAUAUAAAAU